rnacentral:tRNA from 1 species
GGGCUCGUAGCUCAGUGGCAGAGCGGGCGGCUCAUAACCGUCUGGUCGUAGGUUCGAAUCCUGCCGAGCCCAC